UUAACUAUAUCCACUGUGCAACUUGCAUAGGGCAACUGUGUCAUUAAAAGUGGAUCUUGUUUACAUUCUUUAAUAUAUUACAAUAGUCAUUUUAAAAAUUAAAAUGAAAUGAAGUACAUUUUUAUAACGUCUCAACUCGUUAUUAAGCGUGAUAUAUAACCAGUUAUUAAUUGUCAUCCGGUAAAAAGAUUGAUCACUGAAUAAAUAAAAUAUGAUACGUUUAAUAAUCAAUAAGAGAUUAGUUCAAAUAGCUUUAUUUCCUUUUUUCGGCUUAAAAAAUGCACACGACAUCGAAUCCGACAAAAAAUUAGAUGAUAUAACCCCAACAAGACUUACCAUAGACAAAAUAAAAGAUUUUUUCUAUAACAAUGGCGAAACUAGUAAAGAGUUUCAAUCUAUCUUGAACUCUACAACUGUAGGCUUUGUGGCUGGAUUCUUUAUGGGCGGUAUACAUAAAUCAAGAUUUGUUGCUGAAAAAUUUAUCACAGAAAAUGAAGCAACUCCGUUUAAAAAUCAUUACGAAGCUAAAAGACUAUUGCAAUAUAAAGUAGCUACUGCUCUUUUCCAUGGAGGUUUUCCAUUCGCUAUGAAACUUGGAACAUUCUGUUUCUUGUUCUCGACUACAGCUACAGUCUUACAAACGCAUCAAGGAAAAUUUAAUCCAUCGCAGCAUGUCAUUGCUGGUGCUAUAGCAGGUUCUAUUUACAAAAUGAAUACAGGAUUAAAAGGAGCAUUCGCAGGUGGUUUUGUUGGUACUAUAUUGGGUAGUAUCUCUGGUAUUGCAGCAGCACUGAUAUUAUAUGUAACUGGAACUGAAAUGGAUGAUUUAGUGGGAGCAAGUAACUCAUGGAUAAGUAAAAGAAGAAACUUGUUAAAAGAACAAACGAUUUUCAUGAAUGAGGAAGCUAAGAUGUUCAGAGAGGUAUACGAUGAGAAUCAAAAUAUGAGAAAAACAGUAUACGGAGAUGAAAAAGAAAGGAAAUAAGAUUUAAAGAAAAAAGUUUAAUGACAGAGCAGUAUGUUUAAUCGACAUACAUCUUGAUUUGUAUUAUUCGAACAUGUAAAAUUACGAUAAAAUUAACAAAACUCGGAAAAAAUUUUGUAAAUAUUUAAAAUUAAUGCUAUCUACGUAAAUUUGAACACCAUAAGAUUUCUAUACUAUACAGCUAAUGGGACAUACCAAGAUCAGUCUUCAUAUACAUAUUUGUGGAAUCUAAUAUUUUGUAUCAUUUACAAUAAUAUAGAACAUGAUAUAUAAUUUAAUACGUAUGUAAAGUAACUAGUAGUAACACUAGUUUGCAUUAAAAAAUGAUAAUUAUGUGCAAAGAAAAUAUAUCCAUGUAUCAACAUGGUAUUUGCACGUAUAUCACUUGUCUGCUAUAUUUUUAUAUAUUUACGCAGAGAAGUUAGAUGAGUGGCAUCAACUAACUAGAGCGCAUGGAAUUUUCCCUAACUCUCUAAUAAUCACAUAAUGUAUGCAAGUUACCACAGAUAUUUGUUUGAAACACUCUAUUCUACAAUAUCACUAACUCCUGUGCAAAUGCUUGAAUGAGUUUGAAAGUUAAGCCUUCAAGUUUCACUUAAUAAAAUUAAAGAUACAAAAAUGAAACUUAUAGUAUAUAUCACUUCUCAUUAGACUAGGAACUAAUUCAACUCACUGGACUUUUUAUACACCUG